CGGAGUUGCAGGCUGCAACUCGCCUGCAUGAAGCUGGAAUUGCUAGUAAUCGCGGAUCAGCAAGCCGCGGUGAAUACGUUCCCGGGCCUUGUACACACCGCCCGUCACACCAUGAGAGUCGGGAACACCCGAAGUCCGUAGUCUAACCGCAAGGGGGGCGCGGCCGAAGGUGGGUCCGGUAAUUGGGGUGAAGUCGUAACAAGGUAAC
rnacentral:rRNA from 1 species